GUCCUUUGCUGAGAUAGAUCACUGCAAGAUUCUAUUAUGUUUAUUUAUUUCCUUUUUGACAUAUGCAACCAAUAAAACAGAAAAAAAAUCGAUUAACGAUUGUGUUUUUUUCUCUGAGGUUAAAAUAUCAUAGUCAAGAGAAUAGUGUCUAAAUUUGGCCAAAUGAAGAUCAUUUGAUUCUUCAGAUUAAACGAAAUAUGCAUUCUUACCAUCAUAAAUAUGAAAUGUGUUGUUUCUUAUUUUGCUGUUGUUUUCAUCUAGUCAUUUACAGUAAAUGAGAUUUUUGUAUUUCAUGUUUAUAAAUGUGUCCCUCAACAGUUAUUAAAAAUGCGACAUUAACAUUAACAUUCAAUCGCAAUCUCUGGAGACCGUAAGAAUUAAUAUCAGUUCAUAUGGAUAGAACAUUUUACUAAAUAUUCGACAGCUGAAAUCUGCUUGUAAACAUAUUAACCAUACUUACAUCCACUUGCUGCAUCCAGGAAAUAAAAUAAUGUAUUUGGCUGACCCAAGGGCAGUACCUUAGGGGAUUGAUAGGUUAAUGAAUGGUCUAGAAUAUUUGCUUCUCAGGCUUGCAGAGGCUAAAUGCGACACAGAUGUUUUGCAUUUUCAGAAGGCUCUGUGGCAGGGGAGUUAGUGUUGUUUAACUCUCCAGCUAUUUUUAUGGAACACUGGCACAAGGUUGCUUAGUGUCACCCUGAUCACCUUAUGGCAUUAUUAGUGAAAAGGUUGACGAAGUCAUUGCAAAUGCUGGGUUUGUACUAAGAAGAAAAAAAGAUGUUCACGCAAAUAAUUACAAAAUUGAGGUAUUUAGCACUGCACCAAUAUUCUCUGUUAUUGUGUCUGCUUAUUUAAAG